CACAAUUCGUCCAACCGAGCUUCAUUUCACCUGGCCGACCCUGCUAAAUCCAUCCUACUGCAUCGUGUGUUUUUGAUAACAAGUACCCCCAGGAGUACGCGUACCCCCAUUUGAGAACCACUGCCUUAGGAGACUAGAUGUAAACAGAGGAAAGAGAGAGCGAGUGAGUUGCUGGUGACAAAGUCACAAUAAAACGUUGGAUGAUCAGCAUGGAAGGUGAUGUCAUCUGCAAAGGCGUCCAACCUAGCUUAAUCUCAGGGCUUG